rnacentral:tRNA from 1 species
GGAAUAGCUUAGUGACAGAGUGCAUGCCUAGCAUGCAUGAGGUCCUGGAUUCAAUCCCCAGCACCUCCA